CCCCUCUCAGGGUCGCACCUGGAGAGUUUCCAGUACUCUACCAAUCUCGGCUUCGGGAGAGAGGGUCAAGCAGAGGCCUACCCAUUCCAUUCCUAGCUUGGCCAGUGGCUGGCUAGUGGAAGGCAAUCUACUACAAGU